rnacentral:pre_miRNA from 1 species
AUAGUACUCCCUUCGUCCCAAAAUUCUUGUCUUAAAUUUAUCUAAAUACGGAUGUAUCAAGUUACAUUUUAGUAUUAGAUACAUCUGUAUCUAGACAAAUCUAAGACAAGAAUUUUAAGACGGAGGGAGUAGUAU